GUAGAUGGAGCAUACAAACGUGUAAAUAAUUGGAAACAAAUUCAUCUGGAUUAUAAGCUGCGAGUGUAGCAAUCAAUUCUGUAACGGUUUUGCGAAUAAGCAAAUCUUUGUGAUCUCUGAAUUGCAAUAUAAUGUCCGAUACUUCUCGAUACCUCUCAUGCAUAAACAUUCCAGCUUUUAAAAAUAAUUGGCGAUAUACUAGUAAACUACCAUGAAUGUAAUCAGAAGAACCCUGUGCAACACCACGUUGAGCUUCAUUGAGAAUACUUGUAUACCAUUGGAGACGGAUGGAUGAAUCCCUUUGCCUAACGAUUUUCAAGAACUCACUCAACGCAUCAGCCGAAGCUAUUCGAAUAGUAACUUUUGGAUCCCGAAGUCCAUGCCAUAAAAGCUCAAAAAUUGAAUCGAUAUGAGCAUAGAUUAAUGUAGACGUAUUUUUGGCAAGCUCCUUAAGUAUAAGCACUGCUGCAUAUCUACGAUUUUCAUUACGUUCUCCUUGAAGCCAUUCCAAAGCGCGUUUAACUUCGAAGUUCACAAAUUCAGAAGUUAGAGCACCUCCAGGAACUGCAAGUCUCCCUAAAGCUUUUGCAGCAAGAACGGUGGCUUUUUGGUCAGUUCCUGGAAGAAUAAUACGCAAAUAAUUUGCAAAUCUAGUAAUCCUUGUAGUAUCUUCUCCUUCAUAAUCAAUUAGACGAUUUAUGGCAGUUACGCCUGCCAGACGAUCGAGUGGAUCGGUACUGUGAAUUAAAGUAUAAACGUACUUGUUAACAUCAUUGUUAAACUGAACUAAAGCUUCGCCCGAUAAUUCUCGAGAAUAAGCUAUAACAU